rnacentral:tRNA from 1 species
GAGGUUGUGGCUCAGUGGUAGAGCACUUGCCUUGCACGCAUGAGGCCCUGGGUUCAAUCCUCAGCACCACA